GAUGAAGAACGUAGUAAAAUGCGAUAAGUAAUGUGAAUUGCAGAAUUCAGUGAAUCAUCGAAUCUUUGAACGCACAUUGCGCCCGCCAGUAUUCUGGCGGGCAUGCCUGUUCGAGCGUCAUUUCAACCCUCAAGCACAGCUUGGUGUUGGGACUCGCGUUAAUUCGCGUUCCCCAAAUUGAUUGGCGGUCACGUCGAGCUUCCAUAGCGUAGUAGUAAAACCCUCGUUACUGGUAAUCGUCGCGGCCACGCCGUUUAACCCCAACUUCUGAAUGUUGACCUCGGAUCAGGUAGGAAUACCCGCUGAACUUAAGCAUAUCAAUAAGCGGAGGA
rnacentral:misc_RNA from 1 species